rnacentral:rRNA from 1 species
AUGAACGCUGGCGGCGUGCCUAAUCCCUGCCAGUCGAGCGAACGGACGAGAAGCUUGCUUUUCUGAUGUUAGCGGCGGACGGGUGAGUAACACGUGGAUAACCUACCUAUAAGACUGGGAUAACUUCGGGAAACCGGAGCUAAUACCGGAUAAUAUUUUGAACCGCAUGGUUCAAAAGUGAAAGACGGUCUUGCUGUCACUUAUAGAUGGAUCCGCGCUGCAUUAGCUAGUUGGUAAGGUAACGGCUUACCAAGGCAACGAUGCAUAGCCGACCUGAGAGGGUGAUCGGCCACACUGGAACUGAGACACGGUCCAGACUCCUACGGGAGGCAGCAGUAGGGAAUCUUCCGCAAUGGGCGAAAGCCUGACGGAGCAACGCCGCGUGAGUGAUGAAGGUCUUCGGAUCGUAAAACUCUGUUAUUAGGGAAGAACAUAUGUGUAAGUAACUGUGAACAUCUUGACGGUACCUAAUCAGAAAGCCACGGCUAACUACGUG